UACGUAGGGAGCAAGCGUUGUCCGGAAUUACUGGGCGUAAAGAGCGUGUAGGCGGCUCUUUAAGUCAGAUGUGAAAACUUAAGGCUCAACCUUAAGACUGCAUCUGAUACUGGAGAGCUUGAGUGCAGGAGAGGAAAGUGGAAUUCCUAGUGUAGCGGUGAAAUGCGUAGAGAUUAGGAGGAACACCAGUGGCGAAGGCGACUUUCUGGCCUGUAACUGACGCUGAGACGCGAAAGCGUGGGGAG
rnacentral:rRNA from 1 species